UUUCCGUAGGUGAACCUGCGGAAGGAUCAUUAUUGAAUAAACUUGGUUGGGUUGUUGCUGGCUUCUAGGAGCAUGUGCACGCCUAAUCCAUUUUUAACCACCUGUGCACCUUAUGUAGACUUGAACAGCUCUCGAGACAAUGUACUCGGUUUGAGAAUUGCUGAUGUGAAAGCUUCAGCUCUUCUUGUGUUCAAGCUCUAUGUCUUAUAUUACACCCCAUACGAAUGUAUUAGAAUGUAAUGAAUUGGCCUUGUGCCUUUAAAACAUAAAUACAACUUUCAACAACGGAUCUCUUGGCUCUC
rnacentral:misc_RNA from 1 species